AAUAAACUCAAUGUAUUGUUUUAGUAGACAUUAUCAUGUAUUUAAACGCAUUUGCAGGGAGGACACACGAGCUCCAUUACCAUGAAAUUAGCAAGCAGCCUAUGGAUUUUGGUUUUUUUAUGAGCAAACUUGAUCUGUGAUUUUACCUGCCAAAUGACCUGACAGGUUAAACUUCAUCCCAUGGGAAAACAUGAAUGAGGCCUGGCGACCGGGUUACAACCCCAUGGGAAGACAAUUGAGAGGUCCAACAACAAGAGUAAAAUUGGGAAUGCGGUUACUACGAGAUGCGGUGGAUAUAUGAUCUUGUGAAGUUUCAACAAUAUGCUUUUCCGUCUAUUAUACCUUGGAAUAAUACAAGACCUUACGAGCACUCGGAGUUAGAUGCUAUGGUUUAGUUUUGGACAAAUGCAUUUCCGGUUCAUAGUAACUAAAGUAUGGACUACGUAAUUAACUGAGUUUGGUCUUAGAAUCUUAUGACUUGGUAACUUUAUUUAGCUUUUGGAAUAUGUUUAGUUUUCUAUAAUGCUAUGUAGUAUAUUGAUAAAGUGUAGUAGUUUGAUUGAGCAUUAGGUACUAGUGGUUUGAAUUUGAUGUUUGAGUAGCAAAUAGUGUGGAACUGAAUUUGAUUAUCUAGCAUGAACUUUGGAUUUGGUAUUUGAUUAUUGAGCAAGAAGCUUGGUUUUGGUAUUUGAUUGUUGAGCAACAAA